GGGCCUGUAGUCUAGCUGGAUAGGGCGCCGGCCUCCGGAGCCGGAUAUCAGGGGUUCAAAUCCCCUCAGGCCCG
rnacentral:tRNA from 2 species